rnacentral:tRNA from 1 species
GCACAAAUGGUUAAAUGCUAGGCUACUAACCAAGAGGUUGGUGGUUCAAAUCCACCUAGGUGCA